UAUGGUGCAAGCGUUAUCCGGAUUUACUGGGUGUAAAGGGAGCGCAGGCGGCGCGCUAAGUCUGAUGUGAACGCCCGGGGCUCAACUCCGGGACUGCAUUGGAAACUGGCGGGCUGGAGUGCCGGAGAGGUAAGCGGAAUUCCUAGUGUAGCGGUGAAAUGCGUAGAUAUUAGGAGGAACACCAGUGGCGAAGGCGGCUUACUGGACGGUGACUGACGCUGAGGCUCGAAAGCGUGGGGAGCAAA
rnacentral:rRNA from 1 species